UACGGAGGGGGCUAGCGUUGUUCGGAAUUACUGGGCGUAAAGCGCGCGUAGGCGGCUUUGUACGUUAGAGGUGAAAGCCCAGGGCUCAACCCUGGAAUUGCCUUUAAGACUGCAUCGCUUGAACAUCGGAGAGGUAAGUGGAAUUCCGAGUGUAGAGGUGAAAUUCGUAGAUAUUCGGAAGAACACCAGUGGCGAAGGCGACUUACUGGACGAUUGUUGACGCUGAGGUGCGAAAGCGUGGGGAGCAAACAGG
rnacentral:rRNA from 1 species